rnacentral:rRNA from 1 species
CACGUAGGGCGCAAGCGUUGUCCGGAAUUAUUGGGCGUAAAGAGCUCGUAGGCGGUCUGUUGCGUCCGCUGUGAAAACCCGGGGCUUAACCCCUGGCUUGCAGUGGAUACGGACAGACUAGAGGUAGGUAGGGGAGAAUGGAAUUCCCGGUGUAGCGGUGAAAUGCGCAGAUAUCGGGAGGAACACCGGUGGCGAAGGCGGAUCUCUGGGCCUUACCUGACGCUCAGGCGCGAAAGCGUGGGGAGCGAACAGG